rnacentral:lncRNA from 1 species
UAAUUAAAUAAUUUGUAAGAAUCAUAGCAGAAUGGCUAUGUCCUUUCCUUAGCAGAAAGUAGACUCUAUCUGAAAAGUCUCUUCCCAGGAUUCAGAACUGAAUGACCCUGUCUUGUGCUUCCUCAAACUGGACCCAGUCCAUCUCUGAGCUCUUCUCCCUCCUCCCAGCAGUUCUCUCUGCCUGGUGGUGACCCCUCACCACAACACACAGAUGGCUGAAAACAAUUCAGCUUUUCAGAUUGGCUCUUUCUUUCCUACAAAGGAACACAGAAAUACUUUCCUAGAAAUGGGUUUAAUUUUGAUGUAACUUAGAUUCUACUAAAUCUGCUGAUGGCAAGACCACACUCAGCAUGACAUUGUGUCUCUUAAUGGCUGUUCCUCUUCCCCAACUCAUGUCCUCACCCUUGAUGUGAUAUUCUGGACAUCCAUCAGGAAAGAGAGCCUCUAUCCAUAAGAGACCUGGGAGGUAUCUUCACAGAUAUGUGGACAUCUGGCUAGUGAUAUUAGAUGAUGCUUCUGUGACUACAGUUUUUUGGGUGUUUUGUUUUCUACCUUGUAGCAAAAAAGUCUAGCACUCAGGCCUCUGCUUUGGAGAACAUUCUACAUUGUAUGAGAAACUCAUCGUUCAUGGGCCUCCAGCAGCUGUAUCUCCCCCCCCCCUUUUUUUACAGCGUAGUACAUGUGAGUGCACUUGGAGAAAGGGGGUAACUGCCAUCUUGCCUGCCUCUCUGUAUAAUGGGUGACACAGCUGGUCACAAUCAGUAGCCCAAUAGUAAUUAUGAUCCCACAUUCCUCAGAGCUGCUUUUGCCAGAAGUUACUCUACAAAUCCUGUUGACCAAUUUGAACCCCAAAUUCUCUGCCCAGUUAUCUGUUCUACGUAUACCCCUUGAAAACCAUGGAAUGAUUCCCACACAGAUACACAUACUGGCACACUCAUGGAGUUGGCAUAAAUCAACCUUACACACAGCAUUGGAGAAGCACAGACAGAAAGUGUGGAAAGAAGACAGAGAAAUUAGACCAACUAAAGAUGUUGGAAUGUUAUGGUAAUGGCAUUAAUAUGGUGCUUAGUACAUAAAAAAGAGCAUAGGUAGGCCCAAAAUGAUAAGUCCAGUCAAGCAGAGAGAAGCUUGGUGACCAUGCAUGAGUGGAAGAUGGUGGAGGUGCUGAUGGGAUGGAGUGGUCAUUCUAAGGAUGGACUUGCAUGGUUCAAGGGAAGAGCAUCUGAUUAGCAGAAUACCUCUCCAGACUGUUGCCUGUCUAGGGCAUUAGUGAAUUCAGAAGACAUUUGAGUUCUUAACUGAUUGGUGGUAACACCCCAACCAUGGGACAUUCUAUAGAGCCAAUGAUGUUUGAUGUUAGGUAAAUUCAUAAUGCAGUCUGCUGACUUAAGCUGAAGACAGUGUGUAUCUCAUUCCCCACAUAAUGGACCUGAAGGCCUCAGUAGACUUCACAGACUGAACCCCUUGAAAUUCCCUAGAGGCCUCCAUCUUUAGCAAAGUUGAAUUUGUAAGGUUGAGACAAAAAUGGUAUUCUCCAGCAGGUACAUUGUCUCGUGUGACUGAAAAAGCAAAGCACUCCACUGUUUUUAAUCUGUUACCAUUUUUGCCCAAUCUGGAUCUUUCUAUCUUCAUUUCUCUGUAUCUAUUGGAGGGACCCAGGAGAUGCUGUCAAUUUUCUUGGUUGGCAUUUUUGACAGGAUUUAGUCAAUAGGUUUGAUUUAAGUUCAGGUUACUUAAAAUGUUGAGUCAAAAUAAUAUCUACAAAAAUGGAUCAAGUCUGAGAGUCUGAAAGCUGCCUAGACAAUUCAGCUUUGAACACAGGCCUUUCACAUAGUCUAGAUUCGUUGAAUGCAAGUCUUUUUAAAGUGUAUGUAGCACUUAGGCCAGCUCAUGCACCAUGUACCAUUAGGACCCUGUUGGGAAUGAGGCUGCACCUUCCUGCCUAACAGAGACAUCCCCAUGGAGGACAGCAAAGAGCUGGUGAUCCGUUGCACAUUCUCAAGGUUAGCAUGUUUAACAGGAUUU